UACACAAUUAUUGUGACUUAUUAACGGGGCACAUAGCUGAUGCUAUACAUACGUACAUAUAGCACGAAAAUAUCAUUUAUAUAAAGAAAGUAGUGUCAAAUGUAAAGUAAUAAUAACGAGAUAGUAAUGCCACAAACCUAGGUUUAAUAUUAAAUUGUCCUCAAUCACAGAAAAAUUCAAUUUGUCUAAAUCGAAUUAUGAAAAGUGAAUAUCGUUAUUGGGGCCACUGAGCGUAUACGUAACAAUACAUGCAACACAUAUCAUAUUUAUUGGAAUGAAAUUUAUAAGCUUUCUCUGGAAUAUUUCUCAAAUUCUUCGUCAAAUCGUCGGAAUUUCGUCAAAUAACAUAAUUCUUAAAAUUUGCUCCGUCUACCUGUGCUAGUGAUAUUUGUGUAAAAAUUGAGUACAUGAGCAACAACACUAUUUGAUUAUCAGUGUUAGCUAUAAAAUCAUUAGUGAUAAGGGUGAACAAUCUUCUCGGUUCGCUCAUUCACCAUCACAUCCAUUCGAGCAGAUAAUCAUUGCCUUGAACAUGCACGCCGUCACCUUAGUAGUCUAGUGAGCAAGCAAAAAUGAUAAAAGUAAGAUAAAUUGGAGGUGGAAGUUUGCUGUGGUUGCUCCUAAAGGCACAACUGAAAAUAAAAGCGAUGAUGGUUGCAAGGAGGUGAUCUGCCUAUGGCCAACUGCUUUCAUAAUCGGUAACAACAGCACGGAUGGUUAGUUGUAGGGUUGUAUGAUGUGAAAGGGUUACUGCAAGUGUUAUUCAUACAUAUGUGCCCACAGCAACUGUAAGCUGUACAAAUAAACAAAAAACAUUUUAACGUUUGUGGACAAUUCGACAACUAAAUUCGUACAGGUGCGAUUUAUUAUGAAUGAGCAUGAAGGACGAAUUCAACAAAUUGGCAAUCACUUUGAGAUCUUCGUCGUAUACUUAGUUGAUGGCGUUCCGUUGCUGCAAGUGAUUUUCCACUUCAUUAAACUAAUUUGUGGAUUUAUGAGCAUGGAGGAUUUGUGAUGAAAUGAAUGAGCUCUGGAGCGGCGAGCUUACCCUUGGAAUAUACUCGUGCAAUGUUCUCGUAUGUAAACACAUGCGGCUUUCAUUCACAAAAGCUUACCACACAAUGACAACAAUCUACAUACAUACAUGCAUACAUAUGCGAAAAGCGAAAAAGCUAAAUUAAUCAAAAUAAAAACAAAGAAGGAAUACGAUGUGGCGCAAACUGAAACGCACAGUCGGGCGAAUUGAGAAUCAAAACAAAAUCAAUGAAAAUGGCGCUAAAGAGAACUGAGAGAAAUAUACAUUUUAUAAUACUUAUAAUAACACAAGAAAUAGGGUAGGGUUAAGUUUGGUUGAAGCGUAACAAUAUAUGUAUAUAUAUCAGUAUUUUAAAGACUAAAGUACUCUUUAAGUACGCUGUGUGGCUUGGGUACCUUUCUAAAAUCAAGGAUAGCUACCAAAUUACACGAAAACAACUCAAAUCUUGCCCGAUAAACUGAUUAUAAACUGAUUUGACAGAAAAUAAUUUACCUGAAAAACAUGAGGACUACUCUUUCAAGAGUAAACAAAUUCUUUAAUUUCUUUAAAUUCGUUAUAUAGUCGCUACCGACUACUUUUUUUUAGAAAAAUAUUACCUUAUAUCAAGUGUUACAUUUAGGUUAUAUAUUUAGGUAUAACAAAUUUCACUUCUGCUUUAGUUAUCGAAAUUUUAUUGAUUUAUUUGUAAAAGCUAAUAGUAAAAGCUUCUUACAAGGACACAGUUUCAUUGAGUUUGUAGAGAUAACUAAUUAGGGGUACCAAUAUAUGAUCUGUAUAUAUAACUGUAUAUCUAAAUUCGAUUAUGUGAAGAAAUCUUUUGUACUAUACGACAAAUGUUGCGAGGGUAUAAUUACUGUAAUUUGGCGAGCAAAACUAAAAAUAAAAUGAGGCAAUCAAAUUUAACGAAGCGCGCUUAUAAAAUGACUCAUGCUCGCGAUACACAAUGCUUUUAUAUAUUAUGGCAAAUACAUACAGAUAUGCUCAGAAUUCAAUACAUAAAAUUAGAGUGGGAACAUCUGAAGAAACUUAAGUUAAUUUGUGGUUUCAUGUUAAAAAUUUCGCUUUAUUAUCGAAAAUGUUGUUCCAAUAACAUUUACUGAAACACUUUCUUCAUAACCACGAAAAAAAUUAUGAAUACACUUGCAGGCAUUAAACUCCACUGUGCGUAAAUACUUUGUUUGUUAAAGAGAACACUAAAGAGCGUAGGUGGCGUCAGUAUUAAUAUUUCAAGUUUGGAAUGACAACGGAAGGGAUAUAUCAUUUUCAUUAAAUUGGGAAGAAAUUAUUGGUAUGCAAAAAUAAUCACUAUAUACAAACAUAAUUUAAGUUGCUAUUAUAAGUUUUCAUUGUACUGAUUAUAUACAUGUUAUUUCAUGUUCAAUACAAUUAGGCAAUAGAAUAAAA